AAGGUAGCGUAAUCACCUGUCUUUUAAAUAAAGACCUGUAUGAAUGGCAAGACGAGGGUUUUACUGUCUCCUCCCCCCAGUCAAUGAAAUUGAUCUACCCGUGCAGAAGCGGGUAUAAAAACAUAAGACGAGAAGACCCUAUGGAGCUUUAGGCACACAUCAAAUAUGUAAAAAACCAAAUCUUCCAAAUAGGCCUAAAAAAUGAGAAAAACAAGUAUUAAUGAUUAAUUGCCUUCGGUUGGGGCGACCACGGGGAAAAAUAAAACCCCCACAUGGAAUGGGUAAAACUAUCCUAAGCCAAGAAAAACAAUUCUAAGCAACAAAAUUUUUGACCAAUAAACGACCCAGGGACAACAUCCCUGAGCAAUGAACCAAGUUACCCUAGGGAUAACAGCGCAAUCCUUUCCCAGAGCCCAUAUCAACGAAAGGGUUUACGACCUCGAUGUUGGAUCAGGGCAUCCUAACGGUGCAGCCGCUGUU
rnacentral:rRNA from 1 species